GUUUGAGGGGGGAAGUAGCAGACACACACAAGCCACUAUUUAUUUCCAAUCCUCAUACAAGACACCUGAUACAAGCCAAGAUGAAGAGAAAUGCAAGGAUUCGGUGUAUAAGCAUGGGAACUUGCAAGAGAGAAAGUUGGAGGUGAAUGUGCUGCUGUUGCUACACAGAGGCCUUUGCAGCUCAGGUGUUCUGUGCUUAAAUUACUGA
rnacentral:lncRNA from 12 species